GUGAGGGAAUGGGAGACUAGUGGCAGAGUGAGGGAGGGAAGGGGUGACUAGUGACAGAGUGAGGGGAUGACUGGUGACAGAGUGAGGGGGGGGUGACUGUCACUAGUCACCCCAUCCCUCUCUCUGUCACUAGUUACUCCCUCCCUAACUCUGUCACUGUGUCACCCGCUCCCUCACUCUGUCACUAGUCACCCCCUUACUCUGUCACUGUGUUACCCCUCCCUCUGUCACUAGUCACCCCCUCCCUCAC